rnacentral:rRNA from 1 species
UUCAAGAGUACGUGAAACCGCAUAGAGUCAAACUGGUGGAUCCGCAGAGUCCGCGCGGGGAAUUCAGCUCGGCAGGCGGGGCCGUGCGCCGGCCGAGAUUCGUCUCGGACCUGGCUGGCGCGCUGCGUACUCGCAGGCAGGGUGCACUUUCCCCGGCUAGCGGAAGGCCACGACCGGUUCGGUGGCGGUCAGGAGCCCGGAGCGGGAGGUAGCCGUGAUCGGUUCACGCCGAUUGCGGAACGUACAGCCCUCCGAGGUGGACUCGCCGCUGGACCGAGGAUGCCGCGGUGGCCUCACGCCGCGGGCCGUCCGGGAGCGUUCGACUUUGGCCACGCUGCUCGCAGCCGGCCGAGACCGCGCUUCUGGUACGGGCUCGCGAACGGGGGCCGCCUAGGGUCAGUGGCGAAUCGGUCGGCAACCCACCAGACCCGUCUUGAAACACGGACCAAGGAGUCUAGCAUGUGCGCGAGUCACGGGGUCUCUCGAAACCCAAGGGCGCAAUGAAAGUGAAGGCCGCCUCCGGCUGGCCCAGGCAAGAUCCCGAGACGUUCGCGUCGAGGGCGCACUGCCGGCCCGUCUCGCUGGCAUCGACCACGAGGCGGAGCAAGAGCGCACACGCUGGGACCCGAAAGAUGGUGAACUAUGCCUGAGUAGGACGAAGUC